rnacentral:rRNA from 1 species
CUGACUGCUAUCGGAUUGAUACUAAGCCAUGCGAGUCUUUGUAGUAAUACAAGGCAGACGGCUCAGUAACACGUAGUCAACCUACCCUAUGGACAAGAAUAAUCUCGGGAAACUGGGCAUAAUUCUUGAUAGAUCAUAAUGCCUGGAAUGGUUUAUGGUUAAAAUGAUUCGUCGCCAUAGGAUGGGACUGCGGCCUAUCAGCUUGUUGGUGAGGUAAUGGCCCACCAAGGCGAUUACAGGUACGGGCUCUGAGAGGAGAAGCCCGGAGAUGGGUACUGAGACACGGACCCAGGCCCUAUGGGGCGCAGCAGGCGAGAAAACUUUGCAAUGUGCGAAAGCACGACAAGGUUAAUCCGAGUGAUUUCUGCUAAAGAAAUCUUUUGCCAGUCGUAAAACCGCUGGUGAAUAAGGGGUGGGCAAGUUCUGGUGUCAGCCGCCGCGGUAAAACCAGCACCUCAAGUGGUCAGGAUGAUUAUUGGGCCUAAAGCAUCCGUAGCCGGCUUUGUAAGUUUUCGGUUAAAUCCAUGUGCUCAACGCAUGGGCUGCCGAAAAUACUGCAUGGCUAGGGAGUGGGAGAGGUAGACGGUACUCAGUAGGAAGGGGUAAAAUCCUUUGAUCUAUUGAUGACCACCUGUGGCGAAGGCGGUCUACCAGAACACGUUCGACGGUGAGGGAUGAAAGCUGGGGGAGCAAACCGGAUUAGAUACCCGGGUAGUCCCAGCUGUAAACGAUGCAGACUCGAUGAUGCAUUGGCAUAAUAGCCAGUGCAGUGUCGCAGGGAAGCCGUUAAGUCUGCCGCCUGGGAAGUACGUACGCAAGUAUGAAACU